UCUCGUAUGGCCGUCACCACCCCCACACCACGCGGUCCCAGCUCCACCCCCCGCUCCUUCUCCCCUCUCUGCUGCGUGUUGCGGGCUCACAGCGAGAAGACGCGGUCGAGACAAGGGGGGGAACAAGGCAGAGAGAGAGAGAGACGGAGACAAAGGGACCCCCAGCACCACCACCACAGCCCCAUACUUGCUCGUUGACGACCAUUCAGGGGUGCACCGCGGAGAGCUCUACGACACCACCUGUGAAAAACCUACGCCGUGAACAGCUCAACAGAACUCGUCUCUCAAGUUCGCCAGUCGCUCCGUGGUCAUGUUCAUCGCAGAGACUCCUUUCGUGCUGCCCAGCAGACUCGGCGGCGGGGGUGGUCUGCAGGGGGGGGCCCGAUGCCCCCUCCGGACGGCCUCCGUACAGCCGCCUUUGCUGCCGAGUGAACCCCCCUCGGCUCGGUGGGGUAGGGGGGGGGGGCGGUAUCCUUCUCCACCGGGCCCAGAACACGAGAGCUGCGUCCCGUGGUGGAGGAGCGGCAGGCCAUGGAGCCUCGCUCACUCGCUCGCUCCCUUCCAGCCUCGUCUGCCAGAGUGGGGGCCGUAUCCAGCUGAUGAUGUUUCAGCACCGUUACUGGGGGAGGGCAGUGAGGCCCCCCCCCCACCAAGGUUCUUAUCAGUGAUCUAAGUUGAUUUGACGGACACGAAAUGAGAUGGGAAUGCUAUUUUCAGGAUGCCGAAAUUUGGCGUCUGCCUCCUCUAAUAGAUACUUUGUGAACCAAGCGACGGGCGCGCGUGUUGAUCGCUGGGUGUCGAGACGCUGAAUCUCGACACCGGUCAGGCGUGUGCUUGUGUUGAACCAAUGCUGCUGAAAGCACUCCCAGAAGACCGCGGUGGCCGAUGGGAUGUGUAAAAUAAAAGUCGACAGUUGUACGUGCAGGGAGGGGUAAUCGUCUGCUUAUUGAUGAUGUUACACUGCACUUGCAUCCUCCACGGCGCUGCUACUGAUUGUUCUUCUGUAUUGGGUAGCACGGAGCGUGCAAUCCGGGGCUUUGUGUCGCGGGGUCGAUGCGAACGUAACAUUGCAUAAGACCACCCACCUACACGGGAUAUCAUCGCGUGAUCUAUUGGAGGAGGUGCACCGUAUAGGUUGGCGAGCUGUCUUUACCACACAUGCGUGGUUAUCCCCCCCCGUGUGUAGGGGAUUUCUCCGGGCGCGCUUCGUCUCCUUCAAUGAAGUGGGGAAAAAAAAAUACUCCCAAAAAAGGAUCUGGAAUAAAGAGCCAGGGCCAAAUACUUUUGUAAAAGGAGCUUCGUGAUUCGGUCAGGAAUUUCCUGGUAAAUAUUGAACCUUUAAUUCAUCAAUAUUUUACGUGUACUUUAAUAUAUAAACACCUUCGUAUUACUAACGGCGUCUCGGAGCGCUGUAGAGGAGGGAUGCCGAACACGUCUGUGCGAUGUAAAUGCAAGACAUUUAAAUGUGAUUUAUCAGCGGAGCAGUGUUCUCGAGGCCCAUGCAAUUUAAAGGUAAUAAAAGGUUAUAUCCGCACCAGACUUAAGGUCGGUGACAGAAUUCUUCAGUAAAUUUCACGUGGUUCAUAUAUUCGCUACGGGGUUUUUUGUUUGUUUUGGCCGUGAGCGGAAAUCGAACUCGGGUCGCCGGCAUCGUCGCCGUGGUGCUGCGCUAACCACAGCGCCACCACUCCUCAGACCGCCCUCCCCCCCCCGCGCGCUCCUCCUCCACACGUGGCAGUGUGAUCACUCCUCCCCCUGCAGACACGCGCACAGGACACACGCA